CAAAUCUUUUGCGAGUGUUGGAGCUUGAGCGUAGCAUCUCACAACAUUUUGCAACAUUUACACAAGGUCGAAAGGCCUUGAUGUUCACGCUUGUAUGUUUGACAGAGUUAGUUGAGACAAUAACAAAAGA
rnacentral:misc_RNA from 1 species